GGUGGCACAGCCAGAGUCCUUAGAUAAAUCGUCGGAGCCUGUGCUGGCGUCCGAAACCUUCCGGCGCCCCCCGGUGCUUUUCACUGCCUUGGCCGUUUUAGACAUAGUUGAGGAAGAUUUGCCCGCAGGUUUGCUCUUAUCCGCUUUACCGUCCUUUCCAGCGAGACUUCCUACGGGGCUGCGCCGGGAAAUGCGGCUGCCCAGGUGAAUGCCUCCCGGCUUGACGCUAAGAGUCGGGGUCCCAAUCCCUCCGCGGAUCUUGGCUUAGCAGACACCGCCGAAGAGAGUUCCGCGGUUUCAGGCCGAGGGAUUGGCUGCUGCUGCCCCGGCACCGCGUGCUGUGUCUGCCCGCUGUCCGAGCCCUCCGCCCCGCCUCCACUGUCCAUCUUCUGCCGGAGAUGGAGCCUCCGUUCCUUAGCCGAGGCAAAGACGAGAUAAACGUGUAAACAGGGUGAUAGACGCCACACUGUUACCAUGAAGCGUUACACAACCCUGCUGUCAUUCAGGCCUCAGGAAGUCUGGAGGAAGGAAACCCAGCCAUCCAACAUGGGUGUUGCAGUGUCUGAUUUCCAGUCUGCGUUGCUGAGAGGAAGAAAAAGGCAUUAAGAGAAACCCGCUGUCCUUGCAAGUUAUCUUCAGUCCAGUAAUUGGAAAGCAGUGGGUGUGUGUUGCUGGUUAUGAAGACGAGCUGAAUCAGCAAUGCCACUGCCUGCUGACAAGAGGCGACAGAUACAUUCUUUCUAUGUGUGCUUUCCUUUUAGUUAUGUUGCACCUUCUAAACUUUAAGAACUAGGUUCUGCUUGCAAUUUUUUUAAUUUAUAAUGUUGAAUUGGUAUCUUUAACUCGGAAAUACAAUUGAAGGAGGAUGCCAAGCAGGAAUUACCAUAAGAGGAUGAAACAUUACUGUAUGUUAGCUGGAUAUUUUUCUAUUUUUAGAAAUGUUUUAUUAUUAUUCUACCGUUGAAUUAGCCAGGUUAGUUGUUUUAUCUCCUGUUUCCAGUUUUAAUUCUAAUGUUUGUUGACUAAAGGGCAGCAUCAAUCUUUUUUUCUAACUCAUGUCAAGACAUUGAAUAUGCUUAUUUUCCAAAUGUUAUUAAACUCUUCCUUAAAUGUU